rnacentral:piRNA from 1 species
CCUUGAACAAGGCUUUGGUGGUUACUGGA